UACAGAGGUCUCAAGCGUUGUUCGGAUUCAUUGGGCGUAAAGGGUGCGCAGGCGGCCGAGUGUGUGAGGCGUGAAAGCCCGGGGCUUAACCCCGGAAUUGCACCUCAAACUACACGGCUAGAGCAUUGGAGAGGGUAGCAGAAUUCAUGGUGUAGCAGUGAAAUGCGUAGAUAUCAUGAGGAAUACCAGAGGCGAAGGCGGCUACCUGGACAAUUGCUGACGCUCAGGCACGAAAGCGUGGGGAGCAAAAGGG
rnacentral:rRNA from 1 species